rnacentral:rRNA from 1 species
UACGUAGGUGGCAAGCGUUGUCCGGAAUUAUUGGGCGUAAAGCGCGCGCAGGCGGUCCUUUAAGUCUGAUGUGAAGCCCACGGCUCAACCGUGGAAGGUCAUUGGAAACUGGGGGACUUGAGUACAGAAGAGGAAAGCGGAAUUCCACGUGUAGCGGUGAAAUGCGUAGAGAUGUGGAGGAACACCAGUGGCGAAGGCGGCUUUCUGGUCUGUAACUGACGCUGAGGCGCGAAAGCGUGGGGAGCAAACAGG